GACAGAGGGUGCAAACGUUGUUCGGAUUUACUGGGCGUAAAGCGCGUGUAGGCGGCUUGGCAAGUCGGAUGUGAAAGCCCACGGCUCAACCGUGGAAGCGCAUCCGAAACGGCCUCGCUCGAGUCUCGGAGAGGAAGGUGGAAUGCUUGGUGUAGAGGUGAAAUGCGCAGAUAUCAGGAGGAACACCGGUGGCGAAGGCGGGACUCUGGGCCGAUACUGACGCUGAGGAGCGAAAGCGUGGGGAGCAAACAGG
rnacentral:rRNA from 1 species